rnacentral:lncRNA from 1 species
GGCUCACCCCCACCCCUGCACAGGGCUACAUGCACCAAGACAUGCAGGGGUUGAUGUUUGGACAUGGCUGUGAAUACAAAAGACACAAGGGAUUCUGCAGUGAGACGGAAAGUAAUGAGCACUGCACACAUGCCGACAGCGCAGAUUGAAGAUGCUCCCUAACGUCUAUGUGCAUCCAUCCCAGCUGUACAAAUGAUGCUUUUACCCAGCAAGGUGGGCUCCAGGCACUCUGCACCUCCACUUGCUUUGUAUUCUGACUACAUUGGAAGGUGAGAAGACAUUAAAUUUGCCUUAUGCAACGCCACAUGUGACUGAAAUGGACAGUUUGACAAAGGAACAGCCACUUGCAUGGAGAUACGAUAGACCACUGGAAGGAGUUGUCCGAUGAGGACCAGCCCUCGGUCUCCCAGAAUGCCACUCUUCCCAUAGAAGCACACCACCGUCUACUGGAAGAUCAUCAGUUGAGCUUGGCCUAUUUUUCAUUUUGCCUCAUAAAAUCAGCCUUCCAACCCUUCACUCAUUUUUACUCUCUUUCAGCUCAUCCCUGAGAGUUCAACAUGGCUAAGAUAAUGUAACUUUUCAAUAAAACAUAAAAUAAUCGGUUCAUUUAUUCAUCAAAAGUCUCAGCCUUCCAGCUUUACGAUUUUUCUGUAUCUCCCAGUAAAAAUAAUUCUUUGCUGCUA